GAUGAACGCUGGCGGCGCGCCUAACACAUGCAAGUCGAACGAUUAAAGCACCUUCGGGUGUGUAUAAAGUGGCGAACGGCUGAGUAACACGUGGGCAACCUGCCCCUUUCAUUGUGAUAGCCACGGGAAACCGUGGAUAAUACCGAAUACUUCGAGACUUCCGCCUUGAAGACUCGAGAAAGCUCCGGCGGGGAGGGAUGGGCCCGCGGCCUGUUAGCUUGUUGGUGGGGUAACGGCCUACCAAGGCAAUGAUGGGUAGCUGGGUUGAGGGACCGACCCGCCAGAUUGGGACUGAGAAACGGCCCAGACUCCUACGGGGGGCAGCAGGGGGGAAUCUUGCACAAUGGGCGAAAGCCUGAUGCAGCGACGCCGCGUGCGGGAUGAAGGCCUUCGGGUUGUAAACCGCUUUCAGCAGGGACGAGGCGAAAGUGACGGUACCUGCAGAAGAAGCCCCGGCUAAAUACGUG
rnacentral:rRNA from 1 species